rfam:Triticum aestivum genome assembly, contig: Triticum_aestivum_CS42_TGACv1_scaffold_194019_3AL
ACUAUACUUCCUUUGUUCGAAAAUACUUGUUUUUAAAGUGGUUGUAUCUAGAUUUAUUUUAGUUAUAGAUACAUCUAUUUUAUUCAUUUCUAAGACAAGUAUUUUCAAACGGAGAAAGUAUUAC